rnacentral:lncRNA from 1 species
ACACCCGGGCCGAAAGGAUCAAAUCAAAUUUUGUGCUCAAAAAGCAACUUGAAGCAUUAAAAGUUGCUUCAUCUACACUACAAAAUUUAUAUUUUGUGCUGGAAAAAAGUGAAAGGGCAUUUAUGCGCCUAGCAUUUUUCAACCCGAAGUUACAGACAGAAGGUACCUAGAAUUAUUGUGGAGAAAAAGUAAACCCUUUAUCCAGAAAUGAAAGGCGUGUAUGUAAGAAAUGUUGAGCAAACGGUUGGGCAGGGUUCAAAAGAAGAAAAAAAGAGAGCAAAAAACAUACCACAAUAGUAACUAGAAUUACACGGAUCACAAUUGUUGUCGCUAAUCUUCUCACAUAACCACCAUCCUUAGGACGAGCGUUAUCAAAUAAACCAAAUCUGC